GACGAACGCUGGCGGCGUGCCUAAUACAUGCAAGUUGAGCGCUGAAGGUUGGUACUUGUACCAACUGGAUGAGCAGCGAACGGGUGAGUAACGCGUGGGGAAUCUGCCUUUGAGCGGGGGACAACAUUUGGAAACGAAUGCUAAUACCGCAUAAAAACUUUAAACACAAGUUUUAAGUUUGAAAGAUGCAAUUGCAUCACUCAAAGAUGAUCCCGCGUUGUAUUAGCUAGUUGGUAAGGUAAAGGCUCACCAAGGCGAUGAUACAUAGCCGACCUGAGAGGGUGAUCGGCCCCAUUGGGACUGAGACACGGCCCAAACUCCUACGGGAGGCAGCAGUAGGGAAUCUUCGGCAAUGGGCGAAAGUCUGACCGAGCAACGCCGCGGGAGUGAAGAAGGUUUUCGGAUCGUAAAACUCUGUUGGUAGAGAAGAAAGUUGGUGAGAGUGGAAAGCUCAUCAAGUGACGGUAACUACCCAGAAAGGGACGGCUAACUACGUG
rnacentral:rRNA from 1 species